GCAGCGCAAUGGAUAGCGCGUUGAACUUCUAAUGCAGAGGUGGUGGGUUGGAAUCUCACCUGAAAUG
rnacentral:tRNA from 1 species